ensembl:lncRNA
GUAGAGAGAGCAGAGAAAUAGGAGAGAACUAGUUAUGGUAGAGAAGAUAAGAACAGCCAGGUAGAGAGAGCAGAGAAAUAGGAGAGAACUAGUUAUGGUAGAGAAGAUAAGAACAGCCAGGUAGAGAGAGCAGAGAAAUAGGAGAGAACUAGUUAUGAUAGAGGAGAGAACUAGUUAUGAUAGAGGAGAGAGAACUAGUUAUGGUAGAGGAGAGAGAACUAUUUAUGAUAGAGGAGAGAGAUCGAGUUAUGAUAGAGGAGAGAGAGAAAUAAAGAGUGAGGAUAGACAAGGAAGAAGAGGAAGAGGAGGAGGAGGAAGAGGAGGGUCUCGCUGGCAGAUGAAGAUGUGAGGCUUCCAGGAUUGGCUCAGAGAAGAAGAAGUAAGAAGAGGACAAGGUGCCAGCGUUACUUUCCUACAAAGAGAUGCAACGUAGAAGAGGAGAGGGGGAGUGAAAGAGAAGAGGAGAGGGGGAGUGAGAGAGAGGAGGAGAGGUGGAUGGAGAGAGAAGAGGAGAGGGUGAGUGAGAGAAGGAGAGGUGGAGUGAGAGAGAAGAGGAGAGGUGGAUGGAGAGAGAAGAGGAGAGGGGGAGUGAGAGAGAAGAGGAGAGGUGGAGUGAGAGAGAAGAGGAGAGGUGGAGUGAGAGAGAAGAGGAGAGGUGGAGUGAGAGAGAAGAGGAGAGGUGGAGGGAGAGAGAAGAGGAGAGGUGGAUGGAGAGAGAAGAGGAG